UAGUGUUCUAGAAGAACCAUGGAGGCC
rnacentral:piRNA from 1 species